UCUCAUUUCUCGAAUCUGAAAGUUCCCCCAAUUCUAAAACCCGAUUCUAUUGGGAGAUUUGCAAGUUAGCGGGCACUGGAGGAGCUGAAAACGGAGGCAAGCUAGUGAUCAAACACACGGUGAAAGGAGUGCAGUGGUUUUGGAGUAGGAGGUGCAUUUGGUGGGAAUAGAGGGCUAAGACCAGUCCCACCUGAGAAAGGCAUCUUUCCUUUGGACCAUUUGCAUGAAUGUGACUCGGAGAAGAAAGAGUACCUCAAUUACCUUAAAACUUCUGGCCAUAAAUCCGAAAAAUGUAGACCAUGCUCCAAGAAAUACCCGCAGUGUCGAAUGGAACUAACUUGAUGGCAAAACAGGACUCGGCGUAACUUGGAUUUCCGAAGCCGUCGGAGAUGGAAGCUUCUAUCGGAAAUGAAUUACCACAAAAUUGAUGGAUUUGAUGCUCCUUUUGCCAAUCAUCUCGACUUUUUCCCCUCUUCUGAACGGUAUUCAUAGGAAUAUUCCUUGUUUAAGUGCGCAUAUUCCUCCUCCAAGAAUAUAUUUAUUUCAACGAAGAUUAUAUG